rnacentral:rRNA from 1 species
UAAUACGAAGGGACCUAGCGUAGUUCGGAAUUACUGGGCUUAAAGAGCUCGUAGGUGGUUAGAAAAGUUGGUGGUGAAAUCCCAAGGCUUAACCUUGGAACUGCCAUCAAAACUUUUUGACUAGAGUAUGAUAGAGGAAAGUGGAAUUUCUAGUGUAGAGGUGAAAUUCGUAGAUAUUAGAAAGAACACCAAUUGCGAAGGCAACUUUCUGGGUCAUUACUGACACUGAGGAGCGAAAGCAUGGGUAGCGAAGAGGAUUAGAUACCCUCGUAGUCCAUGCCGUAAACGAUGUGUGCUAGACGUUGGAAAUUUAGUUUUCAGUGUCGCAGCGAAAGCGUUAAGCACACCGCCUGGGGAGUACGACCGCAAGGUUA